GUAAUCUGAACAGCACACCCUUCGCAACGGAAUGGGGAGACAUGACUAUGACUGCCGCUCUUUAUUGUUCUCUCGCCGACGCUUCUCUUUCCGCCGCCACCACCGGAAUCCGCCUCCGGAAUCAAUGCAUCUCCGCCUUUAAGACCCAUUCCUACGGCAUCGACUUUUCCACCUUCCACAAUCGCCAAAGCCACUCUUUUUUACUGCGAGGUUUGUUUUCACUGCUUAUCUUCUCCCUAUGCAUGCUUCACAAUAUAAUUCAAGAUAAACUUUACAACGUUAGUGAUAUCAAUAUUCAAUAUGAAUAUAAGAUAGAGUAAAGAACUAUUUUGCUAUAACAAAUUAGUUAUUUUUUUUGAAAUGUUUUUAUUUUAAUUUAAUUAAAAAUUAUGGUCUCAUAUUAUUUAUCUCACCUCUUUUUUAAAUGUUUUUUCAACACUUCUAUAAUUGGUUCAACAACAACAAUGAACCAAAAAGAUGUUGGUGUAGUAGUGUAAUAGAUGCUUAAGAUGCCCAGAAGUUAAGGGUUCGAUUCCUGUGAGCUACACUUGUUGGGAAGGGCAGUCACGAAUCCCGAAAGGGGUUAAUUCAUUACCCAAAAUGUGAGAGAUACCAUUGGGAGUACGAAAAAAUAACAACAAUCAAGCACAUCCGCAAGGGAAUAUUGAUAAAAUACUUAGGUCUAAAUCUUUUCUCAUGGUUUUGCCUUUGGUUUUUCUUGGUCUCUUUGCCUCUUGAGCCGAAAUUACCUCCAUUUGAUUUACUUUCCUUCUCCGGACUUCUACCAGUCUCUUCCACAUAUGUCCAGACCAGCUAAGGCGGAAUUUUACCAUCUUUUCUCCAAUAGGAACUACCUCAAUCUUCUCCUUAAUACAUUCAUUACUAAUUUUAUUUUUGACUAGUGUGUCCACACAUCCAACGCAAAAUUCACGUUUAAUGAUCUCAAACUAAUUAUUGUAUAUUGAACAGGUUAUUCAAUGAUUACGUUAACAUGGUGUAAAAAAUUAGUGUGAGAAUAUACUAAGCUGAUAUCAAUGUUUCCCUUGCAGUUUAUCCAGUUUUUAUAUGUUAUGAAUGAGUUGAUAUUCUAAGUGCCAAGUUUUUUGUAGUUGCAAAUGAUGCUGAUAGGACAGAACUGUCAUCUGAUCCCACAAAGGAAACAUCAUAUUCCGAGGCUGAUAAGAUUGUAGAUAAUCUGGACUUUGCUGAGCUUUGCAAUGAGUUUGAAUGCAUCAGUAGUCCCUUGGUUGAAUCCACUGCAAGACAACUUGUGCGAGAUAUACUCGAGCUUCGGGAGGGAAAUCGAGCUCUUGGGACCUUUGUUGUUACUGUUAAAUACAAGGAUCCUGUCAGGAGUUUUACUGGCCGUGAGAAGUACAAAAGACUAUUAUGGGCAACUACUACACUAGACAAGCCAUCCGUGACAGUGCAGGAAAUGAUCAUGCUGUCAACUAGUGUUUUAAGAAUCAAGUGGACAGUUAGAGGGAAACCCAAAUCUUUUAUUGCUGGAGUAGGAGAUCUGAUUCUUCGAGUUACUUCUCAAUUUACUCUUAACCAAAUUAGCGGUCAAGUCGUUGAGCAUGAAGAAUUCUGGGAUUUAUCAGCUUCAUCUUCUAGCACUAAGGCAUUUUUCUGGGCAUCACGUUUUCUUUUUAGUGCUUCGGAAUCUGUAAAAGACUUGGUUGAUAGUGCUAAAAAUCUAAGUAGUAACUUUUCUACCAAAGAAGAGAACUUGGAAAUAUAUCGAGAUCCUUCUGGUGAUCCAACCAAGGUGAGUACUUUUUUGUAGAUCAGUCCUAAAUGGUUAGAUUCAGUAUAGUAAUUAUUGCUCAUUUUGGAUGGGUUUUAUUUUAGGACAAAAUUUAGGUAUUCUUCUUUUGGUGUCUGUGCUGCAGUUAUAAUAGGAAUGAGGUUAAGAAACCAAAAAGGACACGUUGCAUUAGAAAACCAACUGCAUAAAUCUUUUACUUAAAUACAUCAUAUCCCAAUGCAACAUCUCAUCCCUAAGGAAUGAGGAUAGCAAAACUUUAAGAACAAAACACAUGUAACAAAUAGAUGUUAAACAUGUUGUAUUUUGAUUUUUGGUACUACAAAGGUAUCUCUUACCUUUUGGGUAAGAAACUAAUCUCUUUCGGGG
rnacentral:lncRNA from 1 species